rnacentral:rRNA from 1 species
UACGUAGGGUGCGAGCGUUGUCCGGAAUUACUGGGCGUAAAGCGCGCGUAGGUGGUUUGUUAAGUUGGAUGUGAAAUCCCCGGGCUCAACCUGGGAACUGCAUUCAAAACUGACAAGCUAGAGUAUGGUAGAGGGUGGUGGAAUUUCCUGUGUAGCGGUGAAAUGCGUAGAUAUAGGAAGGAACACCAGUGGCGAAGGCGACCAACCUGGACUGAUACUGACACUGAGGUGCGAAAGCGUGGGGAGCAAACAUGG